rnacentral:lncRNA from 11 species
AACAACAAUGCCUUAAUUAUAUUAACAGAGAGAGAAGAGAAGAAUGCAUGGAGACAUCAAUCUUCUGUUGACAGAAGGCAUCUGCAGAUGGAAUUCAAGGUGCCAGGGGUGAAAAGGAACUUAAUUGGAUUCAAAUCUUCAAGAAUGUUGUGUGUUAUUCCAGCACUGGAUAUAAGGUGAGUAUGAUUUUCCCCCCUCUGUAGACAACCCCUAAGUGUGCACAGACUGUUUAAUGAUCUGUUGUAGAAACUUUCCUCAUAUUGGUAGUUGCUUGGGUUCUCU